UGGUCUGUUCCUAAGGGGUUAUGUGUCUUCUUCGUAAUUUCUAUUUGAGAGAGAGAGAGAGAGAGAGAGAGAGAGAGAGGAUGAGAAGGAGGAUCGAUGAAUUUUCCUUCUGAAAUCUGUCAACUUCUAUAUUGUUCGUAGAAUUUACAGUAGUUGUUGAAUCUGGUUUCAAUUUUCGUGAUCUGAUCGUGUAACUGGAGCAGGAUCGUGGCCCGAGAAUUGCUUGCUAGUUUAUUGACCUGUUAUGCAUGUGCGCAUUUGAGAGAUGGUGUUCAAGAGAAGAUUAGAUUGCGGGUCCAACGGCUUUGAUUUCCCAAACAUACCAAAGGCUCCUCGUUCGUGCAGGAGGAAGAUCUUAGACAAGAGCACAGAUGAUCAGAUUCGUGCCAUUGAUUUGCUUGCUUCUGUGGCUGGAAAAUUACUGCAAGAGAACGAAAGUUCGUCAGCGUCUACCGAUGCGUUUGAAGGGGAUGAUAAUAAUCAUAAUUAUUUGGGUAAAGAGAUUAAACAAGAACAUGUAGAUGAAUAUAAGCCGUUGAAAACACAGUUUCCCGAUCAGGGGAAAUCUGACUUGAAGUCUAGGGAAGAAACCACUAGCGAGAAGUGUCUGCUUAGCAAGUUUCCAUUUUGCGAGAACAAUGGCAUUUUGGAGCAAACUUCAGUGUCUGAUAAUGAUAAGGCUCGCGAUUUGAAGGCGGCAGAGUGUGAAAACAAGAAAGGGGAUGGUGGCUUCUCAAGCAAAUUUGGAGGCACCGUUGGAGAGACAGGUGCUGUUUUUGUGAAUACCGGGUUUGAAGAACAAGGAGAAGCAAUCGAUAGAUUGGGAGGUGGAGGUCUAACAAUGGCUGAUAUGUGCCACUCAAAGGAUACGGCCAAAUCACGUGUGCCGUUUCCUGAAUCUGUUCACUCUGAUGGAGACGUAAAAUUUCCGUCUUGCAGGAACCCGGUCUGGAAUGGUUCCUUUGCAAGACAUGGGAAUCAUACUAAGUUAGGUAGAAGAGAUGAUGACGAAAACUUUUAUAGGUAUUACAAACUUGGCAGUAAAUUUAAUUUGUACAGGCCUCCAAAACGUAUUGGGGAUCGAAGAAUAAGGAAGUUGCUGUCAUCCAAGUACUGGAACGCAGUUCCCAACUUGAAGGAUUAUGAACACAUAAGAGCUGAUGGUGGUCUGAAGGCCAUGUACCGCAAAAGAAAGUCGUGCUAUGGCUACAACGGAUGGCAGCAUGAGACCAUUCACAAGCAGAGGAGAAGAUCAUCUGUCAGGGGCUCAGUUGUGACUUAUGAUGGAGGACUCAGUAGUGAAAGUGUUGCUAACUCACCCGACGUAGGAGAUGCAGGAAAUGGUGUGCUCUCUCCCUGUAUAGGUCUUCAUUCCAAGGAUUCUCAUGUAAAGUUCAGCAUCAAGUCCUUUAGGAUUCCAGAGCUUUUUAUUGAAGUUCCAGAAACCGCAACAGUCGGCUCACUAAAGAGGACCGUGUUGGAGGCUGUGACUGCGUUACUCGGAGGUGGAAUACGGGUCGGGGCACUUGUCCAAGGGAAGAAGGUUAGAGACGACAGCAAAACUCUAUCUCAGACCGGUAUCUCAUGCCAAGAAAACGUAGGCAACCUUGGUUUCACCUUAGAGCCUGGCCCCGCUAAAGGGUCCGCACAUUUUUGCUCAGAAGAUCCUCUUAUUUCUGUGCCAUCUGUCUCAAAAAGUUUGUCGGAAAGGUCUGCGGCUUCUCCCAUGUUAGAUUCUGGAAUUCCUUGCUCCCUCCAAGAUGCAGAAGAUCUGGUUAACCCAGGAAAUGGUGCGGAGAACAACCACGAAAUAGUUCCAUUUCGGAGCGAGGCAUCAGCAGAUCAACCGGGGUCAGAUUCAGGAGCGCUGGUUCCAGUUCCAGCCAUGGACAUCGAGGCACUAGCUAUAGUUCCAGUAAACCCGAAAACUAAGCAUACUGACUUUGGACAACGUAGAACCAGAAGACCGUUUUCUGUGGCAGAGGUCGAAGCGCUGGUACAAUCGGUCGAAGAACUCGGGACCGGAAGAUGGCGUGACGUUAAACUGCGUGCUUUCCAGACUGCAGAUCACAGAACAUACGUGGACUUGAAGGACAAGUGGAAGACACUGGUCCACACCGCGGGCAUAUCUCCGCAGCAACGAAGAGGAGAGCCGGUGCCGCAAGAACUCCUGGACAGGGUCUUGGCCGCUCACUCGUACUGGUCGCAGCACCAAGUGAAACACCAAGCCGGGGUUCGGAAAACAUCGGACCAUCCAGCUGCCGACAGGAACCGAGUUGUUCAAACUGGUUCGGUGUAAAAGAAGUAAGGUAGUGUGCGACUUCACUUGACAAGGGAGAACAACAAGUUCACAAACUGUACAAAGGAAACAACACCAAAAACUUCGAUCCUUGUUUGUAGGGAAUACGAUUCACUCCGUCUCUGGUUCGGGUUCGUGUUGGUGCAAGAAGACGACACAGCAGAGUUACGAGUUCGGUCACCGAGCUAAAGCUCGGAUCUACAUCUCGGGAAGAAGAAACUGCAUGUGUCGUUAGGGUUAUAGCCGGAAAACACACCGGAGAUCGAUCGGAAUCGGCUCCGAUUCACGGAGAGAAAAGCUCCGUUCCGUCAAAGAGAGAACAAACAGAAAACAAAACGAGUAACGAAGAAACCCUAACCCUUGGAAUCAACGAGAGGGUUCGAAACCUCUCUUCCUCCCAGCUGGUUUGCUGAAGACCAAAUAUAUAUUUGAUAGCGGUUUCCUCUCUUCUCUUACAAGGAGAGGUUAAAGAUGCGGUCUAUUAUAUUAUUAGACCGCAAAUCAAAUUUAUUCGGUGGUAGGAGUAGAGUACAUAUGUAACUGUCCAUAAAUAGAGCCCUAGCUGCAUCAAUAUAUCAAGCAUCUUCCUCGUCUCGGAAAUGUUUCCGAGUUUCAA